UCGAAAUAGAGUAAAUUGUUAACAAGUUUUGCUAAUAACUAAAAUUGUAAAAAUAAGCUGAAAUAAUAAAAAGUAUGUUAAAGCAUUCACAAAUUUGAAAAAGAAUUAUGUUAAUAUGUAACAUUGUUUAAUUUACAUCUACAUAGAUUUUCUAGAUAUAUUAAUUAUUUUUAAAAUUUAUGUAUAAAAUGCAAAAGUACGGCUUUGACAGAGACUGGGUACCAUACUAAAAUAGUUAAAACCUAUUAAUAUCUAUAAUUUCAAUCAGCAAGCGAAGAAGAGGAACAAACAAUUCAAAAAGCAAAGAAAACAAAACAUUAAAAACCACAUAGGACUUUUAUCUCGAAUCACUAUCAGUAUUAAGGACACUAAGGACAGUAAUAAACAUUUAAAUUUGUCCUUUGUGAUUGUAAAGCUCAAAAACAAAGCACCGCAAGCAGCAACACAUAUAAGUAAGUGAAGAGUAUUAACUCGGUGGUUUAUUUGCUUUUUGCUAUUCAUUUUGUGACGAUUCUAAACAAAGUUUCUGAAAGAAUACUACAGAUUUUUUCAAUAGAAAAUUAAUAAGUUGAAAAUUGGAAGGAAAAUAGGUCAAAGUAGAGAAAUAUAAUGGGGAAAAGAACUAAAGAGUCAAAAAACAGAAAAAAUGUAAGUGCUCGACAUCAAAAGAAGGUAAUGACAAAAUAACUUGAGCAGCUCUUAUCUAAUUGGAGAUUAAAAUUUAAAAGAAGUAAGCUUUGUUUAAAAUCCUCUAGAAAAUUCAUCAUCAAAUUAUUUCAGUUAUUCUGGUUAGAUAUGUUAUAGCAUAUUUAAUUUAUACGGUGCUAUAGAUCCGUUUUGUGGAAAGCACCAUAGUGCCUGCAGGCAUAAAUGAAAUCGGAAGCAAAGAUUUUAUUUUUUUUUCAUCAUGUAAUUAAAAUAUUAUAAUAAAUUGUGUCUAAAGUGUGUGAAUACUCAA